rnacentral:rRNA from 1 species
UACAGAGGGUGCAAGCGUUAAUCGGAAUUACUGGGCGUAAAGCGUGCGUAGACGGUUACAUAAGUCGGGUGUGAAAGCCCCGGGCUCAACCUGGGAAUUGCAUUCGAGACUGCGUAGCUAGGGUGCGGAAGAGGGAAGCGGAAUUUCCGGUGUAGCGGUGAAAUGCGCAGAUAUCAGGAGGAACACCGGUGGCGAAGGCGGAUCUCUGGGCCUGUUCUGACGCUGAGGCGCGAAAGCUAGGGGAGCGAACGGG